GACGUAGGGCGCGAGCGUUGUCCGGAUUUAUUGGGCGUAAAGAGCUCGUAGGCGGCUUGUCGCGUCGACCUGUGAAAUCCCGCGGCUCAACCGCGGGUCUGCAGUCGAUACGGGCAGGCUAGAGUUCGGUAGGGGAGACUGGAAUUCCCUGGUGUAGCGGUGAAAUGCGCAGACUAUCAGGAGGAACACCGAUGGCGAAGGCAGGUCUCUGGGCCGAUACUGACGCUGAGGAGCGAAGCGUGGGAGCGAACAGG
rnacentral:rRNA from 1 species